rnacentral:lncRNA from 13 species
GAGCUGGGCUCAUGGGGAUACAGAGGCCGCUGCACUCUCCCUGUGGGUGACCCUGGUGGAAACCUGGGAGCUGAGGGUAUGGACAGCAAGCAUGGAGACCGCACCUAACACCCCUGAUAAAAACACCCUUCAUGUGCUGAGCAAUGACCCGGAAGUGAGAGUGAUGCAUUUGAGGCACCAGAAAUGCUCGCUGCAGUGCAGAUGUCAGGACCUGAGUUCAGAAAGCAGACCCCUAAAGGAGCUUCUGGGGUCCACGGCUUCUGGUCCACGUGCCCUCGGCUUGGAGAUUUUUCUGCAGGUGGCCUCAGGCCACACGUCAGAAAACAGACUCAGACCAUCAGCACUGAAAGAACUGAUGGAGCUCGGCCAGCCCAGUGUUUGCAGCCAUGCGGAUGAGACCCCCGCUGCUCGACUCUGGGAGAGGAGGUGAGAGUGAGCAGGCGUGUGGGUGCGAGGCCCCUUGUCAACCCAGCCAGGUCAAUGUUGUUUACUUGUUUUUAUAGGAGCUUCUGCUAGUAGUAGGUAUAAGAUGGGGUUUCAAUGCUUAAAAAAAAGGCUGGGGGUGGGGCAUGCAGCAAAGCACAAAUCUAACCCUACAGUGUCACUUGUGGACAGGGCCAGCCUUGACCUCUCCUGAGACUCUGGUCCAUAAAAGGCAGAAAAUACUGCCUCCUCAGUCUCCAGGAAACACCCCCCAGCUUCGGUUCCCUUUCCUAGUCCAGGGCUCAGGGGAAGCCAUUUCCCAGUUCCUGGCCUGGGCUCAGUCCACCAAGCACAGCUGGACUGGCAGGCAGAGGGACCGAAGACUUGAGUGGUGCCCUCCAGGUGUCUGGGGCAUACCUGGGUAGAGCAGGUAGCCCAAGCCCCCUUGAGGCUGCUGAGAGCCUGCCAGAGUUGGCUCUGAGGGGAGGCGGGCAGGUGGUGGGCUUUCUGGAGCUGGACUACAGAGGCUGGCGGGGGCUGGGGGCCUGGAACUAGGAGCUGAGGAGCAGAGGAGUUUGGAAACAGUGUGGCCUUCUGGUGGGUGUUUUGGGUGAUUCUGAAGUUGGGGGUGGACAGGAGGCAUGCAUGAGGCUGGGCACCCCACACAGAUGUGGAGCCUAAAAUGCUGGGAAUGCGAGUCACAUUGGAGGCCCUUCCACAGCUCCCGGCACUCAUCCAGGCAGCGAUGCCUGCAGGU